CCUACGGGGGGCUGCAGUAGGGAAUCUUCCGCAAUGGACGAAAGUCUGACGGAGCAACGCCGCGUGAGCGAAGAAGGUCUUCGGAUCGUAAAGCUCUGUUGUUAGGGAAGAACAAGUACGGGAGGAAAUGACCGUACCUUGACGGUACCUAACGAGGAAGCCACGGCUAACUACGUGCCAGCAGCCGCGGUAAUACGUAGGUGGCAAGCGUUGUCCGGAAUUAUUGGGCGUAAAGCGCGCGCAGGCGGUCUUUUAAGUCUGAUGUGAAAUCUUGCGGCUCAAGCGCGAGCGGUCAUUGGAAACUGGUAGACUUGAGUGCAGAAGAGGCAAGCAGAAUUACACUUGUAGCGGUGAAAUGCGUAGAGAGGUGGAGGAACACUAGUGGCGAAGUCGUCUUUCUGAUCUGUAACUGACGAUGAGGCGCGAAAGUGUGGGGAGCAAACAGAAUUAGAUACCCCUGUAGUC
rnacentral:rRNA from 1 species